GCAUUAGACCCCCUUGACCCCUGGGGCCCCCAGUCUGGCAGGUGGGUGGAGCCCGCCCCAUUUACCUGCUGGAUACCUCGCGAGAUGCGUCUUGUAACUGUUCGUCUUGUAAAGGCCCAUCCCCGGAGUUUAACUCUGAAUCUUAUGCAAAAGCAGGGCAGGGAGAGCUUUUAUGAUGUGAUUUUAUUUAUUUGUAUAGUUACUUUACAUUCGGAGUAUCGCUCUGUCGCCCAGGCUGGAGUGCAGUGGCGCGAUCUCGGCUCACUGCAACCCCUUCAUCUCGGGUUCAAGCGAUUCUCCUGCCUUAGCUUCCCGAGUAGCUGGAACCACAGGCGCCCAGCUAAUUUUUAUAUUUUUGAUAGAGACGGGUUUCUCCAUGUUGGCCAGGCUGGUCUCGAACUCCUGACCUCAGGUGGUAUGCCCUUCUUGACCUCCUAAAGUCCUGGGAUUACAGGCGUGAGCCACCGCGCUUGGUCUUUUACAAUUGGAGACAGGGUUUCACGUGUUGGUCAGGCUGGUCUCCAACUCCUGAAAUCGUGAUCCGCCCACCUUGGCCUCCCAAAGUCUUGGGAUUACAGGCCUGAGCCACCAUGCCUGGCCUUUUACAUUGUGAUUUGAAAGCUGACAGUGCUUGUGCAGACAAACUGGGUAAGGUGCUAACCCCUAACUCUCAAGGCCCCACUCCAAACCUUUGGAAUUAGAAUCUUCCAGGAGAGGUGGACAAAACGAGUAAUUCCCUUUCCAUAUGUCAGGUUAUCUUCUUGACUUGAAAAGUCCCAUCCUGAAUCUCAGGAUGGAGACCAUGGGAGAAAAAUAUCCGCAUUUACUGGGCCUGAAAUGGGAAAAUGUAAAAUGGGAGAAGAAAUUGACUAGGGCACAAGGGUGAUGGGUAUGGGAAUGUUUUUCAUCCUGGAAUGAAAUGCUUCUUUUGUGUACCCAAGCUCUCAUGUUGCUUCCUGAGUUAUUGGGAAUUGGGGAAUUUUUUUUUUUUUUUUUUUUUUGGUAAGUCUUGUUCUAUCACCCAGGCUGGAGUGCAGUAGCAUAUCAGGUAACUGCAACCUCCGCCUCCGGGGUUCAAGCGAAUCUCCUGCCUCAGCCUCCCUAGUAGCUGGGACUACAGGCAUGCGCUACCACACCUGGCUAAUUUUUGUAUUUUUAGUAGAGACGGGGGUUUGCCAUGUUGGGCAGGCUGGUCUUGAACUUAUGACCUCAAGUGAUCCUCCUGCCAGCCUCCCAAAUUUUUGGAAUUAUAGUCAUGCGCCACCACACCCAGUUGAAACUCUCCAUUUUACCUUUCCUUUGUGAAAUCUGUGAGUACCCAAAUGCAGCCAUUUAUGUCAAACCCUAAGAAAACUGACGCUGGAGGCCACAAGGGGGGGGGGGUGGCCUUGCACUUGUGCUUGUAAUGGGAGCCGCCACAAAGGUCUUUCCCUACCAGAAGUUUGGGUUAAGCCACUUCUGUGAAGACCGUCUGUGAGCAACAGCCAGCCCCGCCAGUUAACAGAGGCCACCACCACACAGGCUCCUGUUGCCACUGAUGUUUGUGUCAGGAUAGCUGACGCGGACUUCUUUUUGCCUACAGAAGCUCGCCCUUGUCCCAGUCUGAGAUGAGCCUGUGGACGAACCCUGGAUUGCAAUCCUUUGCUGUUUGCAAACAGCCUCUUGUUUUUGAGAAUUGGUUUCUCUUGCUCAUUUUAGGUUGCUAGAAGCUGGUGUAGGCAAUAAGAAGCCAGCUUUGAUCAUUUCAGUAGCAUAAACACCAGAGUUACAGAAGGAAGAAAACAAAGCAGUCCAUAUUUAACAUUUAUUUUACUUUGCUGAGCAAAAAUCAUAGCGGCUACCAUGGCUGCUUAGUUUAGACAAAAAUAACACGGAGGCAUCCACAGGAUUAGUUACACAGCAUCAACCUAUCACCACAGCAGAUUUAACCAGUGACUCCCUAAGUUAACAGAAUCAUUUGCUAGAAAGCACUAGUCUAGUAAUAGAAAUACUGAAAUGCGUCACAUACAAAACACUAUAAACACAUGAUGUGCUUUUAGUUCUCCAUAGUUUGAUAUAAAGGAAAUAGAAUUUGGCUCUGACGUAGGAUAUUGCUAACGAAUUUUCAAGUUUUCCCAUGUAGGGAAAGUUGCCCUGACUCUCCCUUUUCAAGGUGGAGCCUCCAAACACCACAUGGGCAAGUCAAGACACACACAUCUGCAGUCAGUCUGAAAAAGCAAGUCAGCUGAAUGACAAAUGAAAUGGAAAACAGAAAAGGCCUUUGCUAGUUGCAAGUUUCCAACUGAGUUUCCACGAACAAGGAUCCAGCAGUCAUCACACUGAAACAGGUGGCGCACAAGGAAAAUGGAAAAAAUACUUUCGAGGCAGGAAAGCUGCAGGUUUCUGUGCUCUGAGUAGAUGACCCACUGUUGUAUCCUCAGCCAGGGCAGAGAACUAGCCAGAUUUAUCGGGGAGCUGGGACACUCAUUAUAUGAACGAAGGCCCCUAGCAGCGUGGGUAUGUAUGUUGGGAAAGAAUAAUGCCCUUAGUACAAUGUUGGUCAAGGCAAAAGAGCAGCCUAUUUCUAUCUGUAACAACAUUCUUCCUUACUUCUUCCAACAGGGAGGUAUUUUCAGGCCUCAGGACAUCAUUUGGACAGAUGGUAAAAGCUGUCUUGUUCCCGUUCCUCCCACUGACCCACUUGAGUGACCCUCUGGGAGCAGGGCAGCAGCAAGCAGAGCUCACUGGUUUUGUGGCAAGGGUUUUAAAGGCAUGCUACAAAGCAGAGCUCUAUUUGGCUGAUAUUCUUUGUACAGCUUUUUAAGAUUACUGCUUCUGACUCAGCAUGUUAAUUUUUCACAAAUUACACAUUUUGGGUUGGGCAAGUGUUCUCCUCUUCCCAAGCAGGCAGGUUAUUUUAAUACUGUUAUACAGGGAAUUAUGACUGCUGGAUUUUCAAAAUCUUUUUAUGCCAUUCAGUAGGGAGUUUCCUUGAAAGCCAGAGAGCUGCACAUCUCUAAGUAUCGAUGCAAGUGAGCAGAUGACUCAGUCCAGGAGGUGGUUCAAGAGUUGUGUGUUUACAAAGGCACGGACAGUGACGAUGGACACACCCAAUGGAAGUCAGACAUGCAGUGCCAGUGCUUCUGUAAGCACAUCUGUGACCAUUCAACAAGAACGUACUAUUCUAUAAGAGUAUUAGACAAAGUGAUUUAAAAAAUGUGUCUGUAUAGUCAUUAACAUGGCCCAGCCAGGCCUUGGGUUUUGCCUCUGGUGCUGGGCUGUUCUGGGAAUGCUUUGAAGACUGGUGACUGGAAACUGACUUGGGAGUGGAGAGGUGACUGAGGGAGGGGGCAGGGGAGGGGAUGGUGUGCCUGGGUAAGGGCACAGCACUGGCCACUGCACGGGCUCCAGAGCAGCAUUACACAGGAAAUCACCCUAUUUGUUAAUCAUUUGGAAAAACAUUAUCUGGUCCACAAACAGAAAAUCAAAACAGGCUGGAAGCUCCUUGUGAGGGUGGAAGGGAAGGCACCACAGGAUGUGCACCAGAAAUUCCAAAGGUGCUCAGAACCAGGCAUCUGCACCUCUCCUUACACCAGACCAGUAUUCAAAGAAGCCAGUGGGAAACCUGGUAGCCACAUUCUCCACGGGGAGGUGGACAGGGCCACCCUGGGGGUUGCUUUCAAUUCUGGUGCUCACAGAUCACCAACCCCCACCCAUGCCACCUCCAGGGCAUUUUCUUUCCAUUAGCUUUUGAGGAAAGAGAAAAGAGAAAGGGAAACCCAGGAAAAAUCAUGAGAAAAAUGUGUUCACGGUGCAGUGGUUUUAUAAAAGUGGCCAGAGGCAGGUGCAGUGGUUCAUGUCUGUAUUCCCAACACUACGGGAGGCUGAGUCGGAAACACUGCUUGAGCUCAGGAGUUCGAGACCAGCCUGGGCAACACAGUGAGAUCCCCAUCUACAAAAAAAUAAAAGCAGCCAGGCACAGUGGCAUAUGCCCAUGGUUCCAGCUACAUGAGACUGAGUGGGAGGACUGCUUGGGCCUGGGAGGUCGAGACUGUACUGAGCAAAGAUCAUGCACUGUACUCCAGCCUGGGUAACAGAGCAAGACUGCCUCAAAAAAAUAAGGUUGCUUGUGGGUUAAAAAGACCCAUCAUCACGGCAGACUUUGAGUAGGUAGAAGUUAUGAGUCAUCAUUAUUGCUCUGUUUCUGGAUGAUUUUAUCUUCAAGAGGGGCUAUUUUUCUAUUUUCCAGGUGGGAAGCCAAAUGGGAAACCAGUGAAGUGACCAUGGGUGCCAGAGACCUGAAAAGGCGGGCAGGGAAGUGACCAUGGGUGCCAAAGAGCUGAGGAGCAUGGCAGGGAAGUGAGACCUGGG